AGCCAAUGGAGGGGAAGCUGUCAGAGGCGUCGAAGCGGGCCGUCCCGUCGCCCAUCCAGCAGCUCUCCCACCUCGCGCAGCGAGUCGGCGCCGUCAACCUCGCCGAGGGGUUCCCCGACUUCCCCGCGUCCGCCCACGUCAAGGCCGCCGCCGCCGCCGCCAUCGCCGCCGACCUCAACCAGUACAGGCAUGUGCAGGGGGUCUGCGACGUGCUCGCGGCGACGAUGAAACGGGACCACGGCCUCGACGUCGACCCCCUCACGGACUUCGCCAUCUGCUGCGGGCAAUCCGAGGCCUUCGCCGCGGCAGUAUUUGCAGUUAUAGACCCAGGGGAUGAGGUUCUGCUCUUCGACCCGGCUUACGAAACGUAUCAAACAUGCAUUGAGCUGGCCCGUGGUGUUCCUGUGUAUGUGCCAUUGGAUCCACCUUCUUGGACACUGGACGCAGAUAAAUUUUUGAAGUCGUUUACUAGUCGGACAAAGGCAGUGAUCUUAAAUAGCCCACAUAAUCCAACAGGGAAGGUCUUUAGCAAGGAGGAAUUGCUUAUUAUUUCUCAAGCUUGUCAGCAAAUGGACUGCUUUGCAAUAACUGACGAGGUUUAUGAGUAUAUUACUUAUGAUGAGAACAAGCAUAUCUCUCUGGCUUCUCUUCCAGGAAUGCAAGAGAGGACAAUCAUCACAUCCUCACUGUCAAAAACAUACAGUGUAACUGGUUGGAGAAUUGGUUGGGCUUGUGCUGCAGCAAACAUAGCCGCAGCAAUAAGAAAUAUUCAUGUCAAACUGACAGAUUCAGCUCCUGCACCAUUCCAAGAAGCUGCAUUGAUUGCGCUAACUAGCACACCAGACUACUAUGAGUCCCUUAAAAUAGACUAUGCAGAGCGAAGAGACUUCAUUCUUCAGUUACUGAAAAAUUAUGGUUUCUACAUUAGCUUCAAGCCACAAGGCUCAGUCUUUGUCUUUGCCGAGUUGCCCAAGUCCUGGCAAAUUUCCGACGUGAGUCUUUUACAUACUGAACUUCUGUUGAAGUAUGAGAUAAUGAAUGAGAAAACACUACUGUUAUCCGACAAUUCAACCAUGUGCAGCAAGCAAUUGUUGAUUGAAUUGUUAGGUAAAGCAAGAUAUCAUUGCACUGGUACUUGCUUGCUUUAUUAGUUACACUGGUCCCUCAAACAAACUAAUCCAGAACAGUUAACUGUCUAUAGAUUUUCAGAUAUUGUGGAACUAAUAGUGUCACACUCAUCAAGCUUAGAUAGAUUUUGUGACGAACUUGAUCAACAAUGCUGGUGUGGCGGCAGUACCUGGUCGUGGCUUCUUCCACACAGAUGCCGACGACCAAAGUUACCAUCACCAUUAUGUGAGGUUUGCGUUUUGCAAGAGUGAUGAGACCCUCAAGGCUGCUGCCCAGAAGAUGAUGAAGCCGGUUAAAAGCAACGGAAAAGUGUCACAUGACACAUAAAGCUUUUGCGUGUCCGAGAAAGGAAGGAAUGAACAUGUUACCAUGUAAAGAUGCUCGGAGACUGCAACCUAGUCCGUGUUGGAGCUGAUCCUAGCUCCCUUCUUCCACGCGGCUGCUUCACACAACUCGCGUAAAAAUGUUGCCAAAUGUGCAAUAUUUGUGGUUCCGACUGGAGAAAUGAUUUUGAUUUUGAUCUUGAGGGCAUCAAUUGAAUGCGAACGACCGAGAUAGGGAAUUUGAUCAA